CUACGGGAUGCUCCAGUGGGGAAUAUUGGACAAUGGGCGAAAGCCUGAUCCAGCAAUGCCGCGUGAGCGAUGAAGGCCUUAGGGUUGUAAAGCUCUUUUACCAGGGAUGAUAAUGACAGUACCUGGAGAAUAAGCUCCGGCUAACUCCGUGCCAGCAGCCGCGGUAAUACGGAGGGAGCUAGCGUUGUUCGGAAUUACUGGGCGUAAAGCGCGCGUAGGCGGCUCAUCAAGUCAGGGGUGAAAUCCCGGGGCUCAACCCCGGAACUGCCUUUGAAACUAGUGAGCUAGAAUCUUGGAGAGGUCAGUGGAAUUCCGAGUGUAGAGGUGAAAUUCGUAGAUAUUCGGAAGAACACCAGUGGCGAAGGCGACUGACUGGACAAGUAUUGACGCUGAGGUGCGAAAGCGUGGGGAGCAAACAGGAUUAGAUACCCGGGUAGUC
rnacentral:rRNA from 1 species